rnacentral:rRNA from 1 species
AAAUUUAGCCUUAAGUUAUUGUAUAAAUUUUAGUCUUAAAUUUUAUUUAAUAAAACAUUUUAACCCCUUAAGUAAAGGUGAUUGAAAAAGCUCUAAGCGCUAUAGAAAUAGUACCGCGAGGGAAAAAUGAAAUAAUAAUGAAACAACUAAAGCUAACUACAGCAGAGAACUUACCUCGUACCUUUUGCAUCAUGGCCCAGCAAGACUUAACAAGCGAAAUGAAAUUUAAGUUUUAGACCCCGAACCUAGGCGAGCUACUUAAGACCAGCCUAUUGGGCUAACCCGUCUCUGUGGCAAUAGAGUGGGGAGAGUUUUAAGUAGAAGUGAAAAUCCUAUCGAGCCUAGAAAUAGCUGGUUAUUCAUGAAAAGAAUAUAAGUUCUGCCUUAAGUUUUAUUAAUGAUGCCUCAUCAACACCCCUAACUUAAGAGUUAUUUAAAUAAGGAACAGCUUAUUUAAAACAGGACACAACCUAAACAAUAGGGUAAAAUCUUAAUUACUACCAAGUGGGCCUGAAAGCAGCCACCUUUUAAAAAGCGUCACAGCUUGACCUUAACCCCUAAAAUACCACCAACCCAAAUGAACCCUUAAUCU